ensembl:lncRNA
UCGAUGGCAUCCACUUGAGAAGCUGAAACUGGGCCAGCGGACACACACACACACACACACACACAGACACACACAGACACACUCCUCUGUCAAACACUACUUGUUGUGUCACACAUUUAGUAGCCUGAUACACACAGACCCCGGAUAGACCCCUGCCACUUCAUUUAGUAGCCUGAUUCACACACACACAAUGUGGCCAUUCUGAGCGGGAGGCAUGACUGGGUGCUAACACAGCUGUUGCACCCACAGGGACAGCACAGGAAGCAGAAGAGAGAGAUGGUGCGCGCGUGUGUGUGUGAGUGAGUGUGUGUGUGUGUGUGUGUGUGUGUGUGUGUGUGAGCAUGUAUGAGAAAACGAGACAGACAGAGAUGGUGUGUGUUUGAACGUGUGUGAGAGGGACUGAUAUUGUAGGUGUGUGAGAGAGAGAGAUGUGCCUGUAUGUGAAAGCCAGAGAGAUGUGUGUGUGUGUGUGUGUGUGUGUGUGUGUGUGAGCAUGUAUGAGAAAACGAGACAGACAGAGAUGGUGUGUGUUUGAACGUGUGUGAGAGGGACUGAUAUUGUAGGUGUGUGGGAGAGAGAGAUGUGCCUGUAUGUGAAAGCCAGAGAGAUGUGUGUGUGUGUGAGAGAGAGAGAGAGUGAUGUGCAUUUAGGUGAAAGCCAGAGAGAUGUGUGUGUGUGUGUGUGUGUGUGUGUGUGUGUGUGUGUGAGAGUGAGUGAGUGAGUGAGUGAGUGAGUGAGUGAGUGAGUGAGUGAG